CUCAGGAUGAACGCUAGCGGCAAGCUUAAUACAUGCAAGUCGAGGGGCAGCAUGACUGUAGCAAUACAGUUGAUGGCGACCGGCAAACGGGUGCGGAACACGUACAGAACCUUCCUUCGAGCGGGGAAUAGCCCAGAGAAAUUUGGAUUAAUACCCCAUAGUAUAUUGGAGUGGCAUCACUUUGAUAUUAAAGAUUUAUCACUUGAAGAUGGCUGUGCGGCUGAUUAGAUAGUUGGCGGGUAACGGCCCACCAAGUCUGCGAUCAGUAACUGGUGUGAGAGCACGACCAGUCACACGGGCACUGAGACACGGGCCCGACUCCUACGGGAGGCAGCAGUAAGGAAUAUUGGUCAAUGGACGAAAGUCUGAACCAGCUAUGCCGCGUGGAGGAUGAAGGCCCUCUGGGUUGUAAACUCCUUUUAUAUGGGACGAAAAAGGGCCUUUCUAGGUCAACUGACGGUACCAUGUGAAUAAGCACCGGCUAACUCCGUG
rnacentral:rRNA from 1 species